CCUACGGGAGGCAGCAGUGGGGAAUAUUGGACGAUGGGGGCAACCCUGAUCCAGCCAUGCCGCGUGUGUGAAGAAGGCCAUCGGGUUGUAAAGCACUUUCAGUGAGGAAGAACGCCUGGUGGUUAAUACCCAGCAGGAAAGACAUCACUCACCGAAGAAGCACCGGCUACACUACGUGCCAGCAGCCGCGGUAAUACGGAGGGUGCGAGCGUUAAUCGGAAUUACUGGGCGUAAAGCGCGCGUAGGUGGCUUGAUAAGCCGGUUGUGAAAGCCCCGGGCGCAACCUUGGAACGGCAUCCGGAACUGGCAAGCUAGAGUGCAGGAGAGGAAGGGAGAAUUCCCGGUGUAGCGGUGAAAUGCGUAGAGAUCUGGAGGAAUACCAGUGGCGAAGGCGGCCUUCUGGACUGACACUGACACUGAGGUGCGAAAGCGUGGGUAGCAAACAGGAUUAGAUACCCUAGUAGUC
rnacentral:rRNA from 1 species